rnacentral:lncRNA from 1 species
ACUACGCGCAACAUGGGUGGCAGGUGAGGGCUCUUCACACUCUGCGGGACACGGUGACGGCGGGUCGCAGCCGGAGCAGUGAUGGAGUGAGUCGUUUGUGAUAUGGACAUGUUAUGGAUGUUGGAUGUUGACUUCGAUGUAUGUUGGUUGUUGCAUUUGUGACUAUUGAUGGAUGAAUGUGUGGAUAAUUUGUGACUAUAUAUACAGAUUUCUAUUAUAUAUGUUGUGACUAUAUAUGUGGAUGUCUAUUAUAUUUGUUGUUGUAUUUGUCUAAUAUAAAAUACCUGAAAAACAAAAAAAUUAAAAAAAUUCCCAGCUUUGCCC